CUUUGUUGCUUCGUCGCAUUUCUCAUUUUCUCCAUUCAUGGACAAACAACAAUGCCCUGGGAAUUGCGUUACCAUGCCUACUUCAUGAAUGAGAUUGAAUCAUGGAUUGUUAUCGCUGCAGAUUGGGCUGCAGUUUUAGUGUGUUCAUUGGCCAUUGCUGGCUUGCUUCAGAGCUCAAGGUCUCAUAGACGAUAUCUUUGGUUCUCUUGCUUCUCCGGUGUUUUGUUAGCCGUGUUCUGGUUAUAUAAUAU